AAGUCGUAACAAGGUCUCCGUUGGUGAACCAGCGGAGGGAUCAUUAAUGAGUUGCAAAGCUCCAACCAUCGCGAAUAUCACCUAUUGCAGUUGCUUCGGCGGGUGGCCUUGAGAGGGGUCACGCUUCCCUACGGGGGGCAUGCCCGCCGGAGUCGUACAAACUCUUAUAUUUUUUUGGCAUCUCUGAGUAACUUUUACAAUAAGUUAAAACUUUCAACAACGGAUCUCUUGGUUCUG
rnacentral:misc_RNA from 1 species